CUUGGUGGCGUACCCACUGGGAACUAUUGUUUAAUAGUUCUCACGCCCUUUUUGUUGUUGUUUUUACAGAGCCUUCCACAGCGGGUAAGGCUAGGGUCCCUGGCGAGGGGUCAGCGACUAGCUAGAGCUUCCUCAAUGUUAGAUAGCUGGAACCACUUCAACUUUUCUAGUUUUGUGCUAUAAAUUAUAGUUGUUCUUACCUGUUGUAAUAGGAUGUUGUGUUGUAUAAGUUUCCUAUAUUUGUAAGUUAUGCUCUGAUUACCUAGUUAGAAUCGAUUGCUUGUUUAUUCUCUUUGUAGACGCCUGGUGUACAUUGUGGUAGUUGAUGUACACGGCGGGUCUGUGCACAUUACUGUGAGCUUCCGCUGAAGUCCAGGGCGUGACA
rnacentral:lncRNA from 1 species